AAAAUAAAGUCCAAUCGGGCUGGUAGAGCCAUCAAGUCAACAAGACAAGACAAAACAAAAAUGAAGAAGAAUAGGAAGAGAAGAACAAGCUUUCAAUCGACUUGAGUCAUUUUAUCAACUCUGCCCAGAUUAACCUAUAUAACCAUUGCUUUCAUAUGGACCUACAAUUUAAGGUGGACUUCGAGUCACAAGUGGACUACAUAACAAACACAAACAACUAUACCUAUGUCAGGACUUGAGAAAAAAAGAAUGUGAUACACAUGCAUACCUCGCACUACACGCAAAAUUCCACAACCCGAAGAUAAGAGAAUCCCCAGGGGCCCAUAGAGAUUGUCGGUCCAUCCCGGAAUGGGCUCCGAUACAGUGGAAGUUACUAAAAAGUAUAAUAAGCUCGAUAAAAACUCACACAAUAUAUACAAUAUACAAAAUUCUGUUUUGUUACUUUGGUAGGAAAAAUUUGUUUAGUUUCGUUACUGCUUAAAAAAUUGUUUUCAGUUGGGAAUAUUUUUUUUGGUAAAUAAAAAAAUUUUGUUUUAAAACUGUCCUUAUUGAGAUGACUGUAGUUCAGAAUUUUAUCAUGCCUAAGGAGAUGUACAAUUAGCUCUGUACAUCUAAGAAAGGGGGUCAUUAUGAUUAGCGAUUCAAUGUAAAGGUAAUAUUCUCGAUAAUCAUCGCCGACCUGCCGACUUUAAAAAAGGGUAUGAUGUACUACGAAAGAGAAGGACAAUUACGUAGAAGGCGUAAAUUUUCAGUGGCAAUUUUUUAGGUGUUGCAUGAUUGUUUGUGUAGCUUAUUAGUUUUUUAGACACACUGCAACUCGCAUGCCCUUUUACAGAGAUAAUAAGAGGGUUUGCCUUUUGUUUUCAAUUAUUGAGCGCUUGAGAUAGUAUUUUGAAAAUUUAUUUUUGCUAUAAAAGUAACGUAAUACCAAAUAAAAUAAGUAACUUAAUAUCGCUCUUCACUAACGGCAACAGCUAAGUUUUUCUAAGCCUGUAUGGAGGUGG